GAUGAAGAACGCAGCGAAAUGCGAUAAGGAGUGUGAAUUGCAGAAUUCAGUGAAUCAUCGAAUCUUUGAACGCACAUUGCGCCCGCCAGUAUUCUGGCGGGCAUGCCUGUUCGAGCGUCAUUACAACCCUCAGGCCCCCGGGCCUGGCGUUGGGGAUCGGCGGAGCCCCCCGUGGGCACACGCCGUCCCCCAAAUGCAGUGGCGGUCCCGCCGCAGCUUCCAUCGCGUAGUAGCUAACACCUCGCGACUGGAGAGCGGCGCGGCCACGCCGUAAAACACCCAACUCUUCUGAAGUUGACCUCGAAUCAGGUAGGAAUACCCGCUGAACUUAAGCAUAUCAAUAAGCGGAGGA
rnacentral:misc_RNA from 1 species